rnacentral:lncRNA from 1 species
UCUCACCUGCAGAGAGACGCACUGUAUUGGGAGAAAACAGUUGUCUGCAUUUUCUGAUUUCUCAUUUUGCUUUUCUGGUCUUACGUUUCAGGAAUUUACUUUGAAUAAUUUCAACCUUGUAUCAACUAAUCUAAGGCAAAAAGAGAAUUGCUCACACUGCGGGGACAGUCAGUGAUCAGAGAUCAGAUCAGCAUCCCUAAAGGGAAAAGAGGGAUGGCGGCGGCUGCUCCCACUCAGAGGAGGUGCAGCUGAGGCGGACUGUGAACGGCGCUGGCUGACAUCUAGUGAUCCCUUCCCGCCUGGGGUGUUUGUUCCCUCCAGAGAGAACAUCUUGAAGGUGUGACCUCAGGAAACAAAAUGGAAGGCCAGGAAGCUUUCAGCAAUUGCUUAAGAAAAUGACUCAACUGAGAAGCAACAGUCUUCAGAGUGGAGCCAAUGCUGUGUUUGCCGUGGUAGAAGCAGUCUCCCAGAGUUUGAAGAGAUGGAGCGUCUAUUGUUUGCCUGAAAGGGAUGGAUGAAUGGCAAGAAAUCUCCCUGAGUCCAAGAAGUUAUAACUAAAAGUGGGUAGACAUCAAUUACAGCAUCAGUUAAUUACAGCUCAGUUACAGACCAUAGCAGAAGAGAGUAGUUGCACUCUCAAACAGGAAGUGCAACUACUUUAAUGCUCCAGCAAAAGAAAGGAAGAUUUCCUUCUUGCCCAGCAACAAGCCCAGCCAAUGGAAAAUGCUGCAGCUUAGCCAAUGAGAAGUUGUUGUCACCUGAACUUUUAUUUUCCUCUAAUGGACUUUCAUUGUUUCCCUGCUGAUAUCUUCCUUUCCUUGUCCUGGUCUCCUUACCAUAAGAGUCUUCCAUGUUGUAUAACACCUUGGAGUGUCUCUUUGCGUACCACAAGUGUUACUGCUU